rnacentral:tRNA from 1 species
GGAGAGAUGGACAGUGGUCGUCAAGUAGUCUUGAAAACUAUCGCGGGUUAAACCGUUGCAGGUUCGAAUCCUGUUCUCUCCG